rnacentral:rRNA from 1 species
AUUGAACGCUGGCGGCAUGCUUUACACAUGCAAGUCGAACGGUAACAGGCCGCAAGGUGCUGACGAGUGGCGAACGGGUGAGUAAUGCAUCGGAACGUGCCCAGUCGUGGGGGAUAACGCAGCGAAAGCUGUGCUAAUACCGCAUACGAUCUAUGGAUGAAAGCGGGGGACCGUAAGGCCUCGCGCGAUUGGAGCGGCCGAUGUCAGAUUAGCUAGUUGGUGGGGUAAAGGCCCACCAAGGCGACGAUCUGUAGCUGGUCUGAGAGGACGACCAGCCAAACUGGGACUGAGACACGGCCCAGACUCCUACGGGAGGCAGCAGUGGGGAAUUUUGGACAAUGGGCGCAAGCCUGAUCCAGCAAUGCCGCGUGCAGGAAGAAGGCCUUCGGGUUGUAAACUGCUUUUGUACGGAACGAAACGGUCUGGGUUAAUACCCUGGGCUAAUGACGGUACCGUAAGAAUAAGCACCGGCUAACUACGUGCCAGCCGCCGCAGUAAUAC